AACGAACGCUGGCGGCGUGCCUAACACAUGCAAGUCGAACGCGAAAGAGGGGCAACCCUCGAGUAGAGUGGCGCACGGGUGAGUAACACGUGGGUAACCUACCCUUGAGAUCGGAACAACCAGGGGAAACUCUGGCUAAUGCCGGAUACGCGCCCGAUGGUCUCGGCCGUCGGGUGGAAUGGGUGGCCUAUGCUUGCACGCUACCGCUCUUGGAUGGGCCCGCGGCCCAUUAGCUAGUUGGUGAGGUAACGGCUCACCAAGGCAGUGAUGGGUAGCUGGUCUGAGAGGAUGAUCAGCCACACUGGGACUGAAACACGGCCCAGACUCCUACGGGAGGCAGCAGUGGGGAAUUUUGCGCAAUGGGGGAAACCCUGACGCAGCAACGCCGCGUGGGUGAUGAAGGCCCUCGGGUCGUAAACUGCUUUUAUAUGUGAAGAUUAUGACGGUAGCAUAUGAAUAAGGAUCGGCUAACUACGUGCCAGCAGCCGCGGU
rnacentral:rRNA from 1 species